rnacentral:lncRNA from 1 species
CUAAAGUACGAACUGUUGUGGUAGCGCUUUGCGUGGAUGACAGGCGUCGGCUUGUGCACGGAGAGUGGAAGGGUUAUGACCGUUCUGUUGUGUCAUGUCGUUGUCGGCACAUCUCUUUUGCGGCAUGUUUCCGUGCUGGUGGUGGUUCUGUGGAUUCGUUGUUGUUUGUUGUGCUCCUGUUCUUCUUUUUCUUCUCAAUUUCGGGAGACUCUCUUAACAGCCCUUGCUCCCAUGUUGAGAGAAGUAGCACACAUGAUGUGCUAUCAGUCUUACUUCUGCUUCAGAGGAAAUUACUAUAGACAGAAAAGAGG